CCUACCUGCUCCCUGGUCUCCUCUCUGCUUGCUGCCAGAUUACUAUCAACAGCUCUAGUUGGUACAUGGUCGACUCUAACAUGUCCAGUGUUUUCUCACUCUAGGCUUCUAAAAGUUUCUGCCCUCAGUCUAACUUCAUAACUUCAUAAGUGCGUGACGAUCAAGCUCCUCAGUCAAACGCCACCCAGACACCGGCGCUCUCUGGAUUUUCCAGAGCACACAGCCUGCACCACCGUGAGAGGUGACGAGAGGAAAAGCAGCAGGAGAAGUGAAGUGAGCUGAUAGGCUGGGAAAGAACAUCGGGAACAGAGCUGGCUAAUGAAGGUGAUGCGGUGCCGGCGUGGAGCACAAGAACACCGGAGGGGAACCACAGAAGAGCACGACACUGUGAGCCUCAGCAUCCUGACAUGUAACAGGGAGAAUGGCACCUCUUUCAUUCCAACCUCGCACCUGAAAUGCCUGUUCUUACACGAUUUCCCAGAGGAGGUGUGUACCGAGGAAAAAAGUAGAGACUGAUAAGAGCAAGACGUACCAAUUACUUCAUAACAUCGCUUCAACAUGUAAUUGUUUGUUUAUAACACACUAUAAUGAAGUUGUACACAGAUGUGAGGACAUUGUGAGCCAUUAUAAGCCGUUUUCAUAUAAUACCAUCUGUAAACUCAUCAUUAUAUUGUCACUCUUUACUUGUUUACCAGCAGGGUUGUUGACAGAUACAUUACCGCACAGGAACAAAUGUCCUUACAGCUGUUUACUUUAGAGCUAUACAUACUCAGGGCAAUUUGACAGACAAAUUGUAAAGCACUCGAUGAAUGCAGCCAUUUAUGAUUAAAAGCAGGUCUUAUGAAACACUGA